rnacentral:rRNA from 1 species
GCUCGUCUCAAAGACUAAGCCAUGCAAGUGCAAGUACGAGUCGUGCGCGCAAGCGCAGCGACGACACUGCGAAAGGCUCAUUAAAUCAGUCGUGGUCUAAGUGGUCUUUCGGGCGACAAGGUCGCCACAGGUGGAUAACCGUGGAAAAGCUAGAGCUAAUACAUGCAAGCGAACGCCGACUUCGGGAGGCGUGCAUUUAUCAGACCGCGCGUCGGCCGGGCUUGGGCGUAAAAACCCUGUCCGUCGAUCGUGGUGACUCUGGAUAACUUCGUGCUGAUCGCCGAUCCGCGGGAGAUCGGGCGACGAACCAUUCGAGCGUCUGACCUAUCAACUGUUGUCGGUACGGUAUCGGCCUACCGAGGUGAUUACGGGUUACGGGGAAUCAGGGUUCGAUUCCGGAGAGGGAGCCCGAGAAACGGCUGCUACUUCCAAGGAAGGCAGCAGGCGCGCAAAUUACCGAUUUCAGACUAUGAGAGGUAGUGACGAGAAAUAUCGAUGCCGGGCCUUGUCGGGCGCCGACAAUCGAAAUGAGUGCAUUUUAAAAAAAUGCGUUGGUGCGCGGCCCGCCCGGGCCGGCGCCAGUCGAACGAGUAUCGAUCGGAGGGCAAGUCUGGUGCCAGCAGCCGCGGUAAUUCCAGCUCCGAAAGCGUAUGCUUUCAUUGUUGCGGUUGAAAAGCUCGUAGUUAAGAAGCAGGCUUUUCGCCGCGACGCCUCGGCCACCCGGCCGAGGUCUGACGAAGCGAAAGAUGGAGAUGUCGAGCGGGCGGCCGGCGUGGCUCUCGGAGCGAUCUGAGAGUUGCACGUCGAGAGCCGUUCCGCAAGUUGCCCUGAAAAAAUUGAAGCGAUAAGGGCAGGUCGUAACGUUGACCGAGAACAGUCGUGCAUGGCACAACUGAAGAUGGCCGCGGCUCCGCCGCCGGCGUCGAGAUACGUGCGCGUGGUAAUGAUUGAGAGGGACGGUCGGGGGCAGUCGUAUUGUGCCGGGAGGGUGAAUCCGGGAUCGCGCAGACGACAGAGCGAAGCGCUGCCAGAUGUUUUCUU